rnacentral:rRNA from 1 species
CCUACGGGCGGCAGCAGUGGGGAAUAUUAGACAAUGGGCGCAAGCCUGACGCAGCAACGCCGCGUGAAGGAAGAAGGCUUUCGGGUUGUAAACUUCUUUUCUCAGGGACGAAGCAAGUAACGGUACCUGAGGAAUAAACCACGGCUAACUCCGUGCCAGCAGCCGCGGUAAUACGUAGGUGGCAAGCGUUAUCCGGAUUUACUGGGGGUAAAGGGCGUGUAGGCGGGAACGCAAGUGAGAUGUGAAAACCACGGGCUCAACCUGUGGACUGCAUUUGAUACUGGUAUGCUUGAGUACUGGAGAGGGAGACGGAAUUCCUGGUGUAGCGGUGAAAUGCGUAGAUAUCAGGAGGAACACCAGUGGCGAAGGCGGUCUGCUGGACAGAAACUGACGCUGAGGCGCGAAAGCGUGGGGAGCAAACAGGAUUAGAUACCCGAGUAGUC